GCAGCGAUCGUGGCAACUUCUUGCAAUUACGGUCGUACCAACCGUACUGGCAAGGUUACAGGGCCUAAACUUAUACAGGUUUCGUCAUGAGGGCUGCCCAGUGAAUAAUCUGUGCAGUGUGAUACGGCUGGGUGUACAGGUUACUUCACAGCUGCCUCGACAUACUCAAGAAAUGGGUGCAGAACCUGCGUAAUGCCCACAAACUUUGACUACCACAGCAUCUCCAGAAAGUAAAGGGAUAUGUGUCACAUGGGAUUUUUAAAGGCAUUCACAGUAUAUAAUACCUUGUAUGAACUGUUGUAGAUCUAAGCAGCUUCUACAGUACACUCUCAGAAAUUAAAACUUGUCAGGGAA